rnacentral:rRNA from 1 species
AGCGGCAGACGGGAGAGUAACACGUGGGAACGUACCCUUUGGUUCGGAACAACACAGGGAAACUUGUGCUAAUACCGAAUAAGCCCUUACGGGGAAAGAUUUAUCGCCGAAGGAUCGGCCCGCGUCUGAUUAGCUAGUUGGUGAGGUAAUGGCUCACCAAGGCGACGAUCAGUAGCUGGUCUGAGAGGAUGAUCAGCCACACUGGGACUGAGACACGGCCCAG